UCUUCCCUAUUCUCCGGGAGCUGUCUCCUAUCUCUUUGGCCUUCCUAAUUAACCAAGAAAUUAAGGAUGGCAGAAGCAAUACUUUCUGAUCUUGCAACCAAAAUCUUAGAGGGUUUGGACUCUCUCCUCAUCCAAGAGAUUGGACUAGAAUCUGGAGAACUAAAACAGGAAU